GGCCUCAAAUCAGACAAGGGUACCCGCUGAACUUAAGCAUAUCAAUAAGCGGAGGAAAAGAAACUAACAAGGAUUCCCCUAGUAACGGCGAGUGAAGCGGGAACAGCUCAAAUUUUAAAUCUGGCUGCUUUGUAGUCCGAGUUGUAAUUUGAAGGAGUCUUGCCGCUGGCAAAAUGAUGGCACAAGUCCUCUGGAACGGGGCAUCGUAGAGGGUGAGAAUCCCGUCUCUGGUCAUCACGCGCUGGCAUACGGCAGGCAUCCGAAGAGUCGAGUUGUUUGGGAUUGCAGCUCCAAAUGGGUGGUAAACUCCAUCUAAGGCUAAAUAUUGGCGAGAGACCGAUAGCGAACAAGUACCGUGAGGGAAAGAUGAAAAGAACUUUGAAAAGAGAGUAAAACAGUACGUGAAAUUGUUGAAAGGGAAACGAUUGAAG
rnacentral:rRNA from 1 species